CACUACUGUAGAUGGCAUAGGGUGAUCACAUGUUCCCAUUUGCCAGGAUUCAUACCUGUUGUCUGGGUAUAAUCAUUAAGAGUGUCCCCUUUCACUCUUAAGAGUGUUGCAAUUAAACUGUCACUAUAUAUAAGGAAGCUAAACUAAAGAAAACCUUGCCAAAGGUCAUAAAGCUAAUAAGCACUUCAGCCAGGACUUGACCCAAAACACAAUCUCCUCCCAGAACGCCUCACAGCCCUCCCAGAAUGGCUCACGCCCCUUCCAGGAUGCCGCAUGCGCCUUCCCCGAUGCCUCACACCCCUCCCAGGAGGCCUCACGCCUCUCCCACGAUGCCUCACACCCCUUCCAGGAUGCUGCACGCGCCUUCCACGAUGCCUCACGCCCCUCCCAUGAUGUCGCGUGCGCCUUCCACCGAUUCCUUACGCCCCUCCCAGAAUGCCUCACGCCCCUCCUACAACGCCUCACAGCCCUUUCAGAGGGCCUUACUUUCUGGUUCUCCCUCUACCUGGGGGGAAGGGUAGUGUAUAUCAGAGUGUGAGCCUGUGUGCUGGUCUCCUAAACUCCUGACAGGCCUUGAGAGACAGGUGAAGUCACUUCCCUCUCUAAUAAUCUUUCCCAGCUCUAGGGUGCACCAGAACCUGGAGAAGUUUCUGCAGCCUCAGAUUUUGGUGCAUGGGUGGCCAGGCUGAGACGGAGGUUGAAGCCUUACUCAGGGGCAUGGGAUCUUUUUGCAGGGUGCUUUUUGUUUUUUUCCCCUCUCUUGCUCAGAAAUCUGGAAAAUGUGAACUUCCUGGGAGUGGAAGACAGGCUCGCUCUUCCUGUUCUCUGGAAAGUGAGGGAGCCAGACAGCCACAUGGAGAGGUCACACACAGGUGAUCUGACCAACCGUUCCAGCAGAGGAGGUCCUGGCUGAUAGCUGCCACCCACCACCAGAGAGGCUUCAAGCUCUUCCCCACUCAGAGCCUUAGUGUUCGAUCCUCUCCUCUGGAAAUGGCUUCAAAGAAGACCCGACCUAAGAAGCCUCCAUGCCUCCAUGGCCCAUUAAUGCUGCUGUGGUGUGACUGGACAUCAGCCAGGCUGUAGGACACCAAACAUCUGGAUACUGAGAAGGCUUCAAGGGCUGCUGCCGAAGGACAGUGUCAGGGCUGGGGGAAAGGGACAUGACAGCAGAUUUUCAUCACCAGUGACCCGAGACUUGGUCUGGCACUCACACCAAACCCUUCCUGAUGUGAAGUAGUGAGGUCAGCUUGGGUGUACAUUCUGAGCUGUAGGCCAUGCCUGGAGGGGAGCAAGAUGUCUCCCUGGGAAGAGACCGUGGAACACAUCUGUGGAAGAAGCAAUGGCCAAAUGGUUAUGGAUGAACAGAGGAGACUGUGACGGGGGAGUGGAAGACAGUCCUCAGCCGGGUGCUACUGUGAUGGGCAGUCACUGGCCUCUUCUGGCGCAUCUGCCUGCAGGGUACCUGGAGCUGCAGGGAUGGAGUCCAGCACUCUUCUAGAGCCCACUCCAACCAGGGACCCAUAAAUAUUGGUCUGGUUUUGGUACAAAGACCAGCCCCAAGCACAUCAGCGGGGUGUUUUCAGCUGGGAGGAGCAGACAUAUUCUUUCACUCUGGCUCUCAUGUGGUCCAGCACAUGGGGAGCUGUCUGGGUGGGGGCUACCAACCAGAGCUUGGCUGCCCCCCAGCCCCUUGCCCUAAGCCCUGACGUCACAGCCCAGACAUCUGGCUGUCAGAUCUGAUUGAGCUCAUGCCUGGAGAGAGCUGGCAGGCCAGGAGGCCUAACUCCACACACAUCCAUGCCCACCCAGCCAGGAUCUGCCUUCCCCUGGGGCAAAGCACUAACCACUUGGAGACUUGCUAUCCUCAUAUGUGGAACGGGGAUCAUGAUAACACCUACCUGGAAGGCUUUUCAUAAGCAUUAAUGAAAAUGAUGAGCUGAAUGUCAUCAACAUACAGGACCUGGCAGAUCGUAAACACCCAACUAGUGAUAAGCACUACAGUAAUGUAUAACAAGAUGCUCCUCUUACUCUCUGGGACAGUAAUGUCCUGUGUGAUAUUAGGCAAGCCACUCUUUCUGAGUCUCAGUUUCUUUACCUGUAAAGUGAGAGUACUUCCAUCAAGCUUCCUUUUCUAAUCCAAAGUUUCACUUUCUGUGAAAUGAGGAUAUUUUCAUAUUUAUUUAAUGGGGGGAAUAGAAAGAAAAAGGCUCAAAUGACAUAUAGUCAAUAUGAUAAAGCUUUGAAAAAUAUGAAGAACUGUUUUAACUCAAGAGAGGAUAAUGAUAAUGAGCAAUAAUGUAAGUGCUAAUUAAUGCUAGUAGUUUCCCAAUAUGCUUUAUUUGCUUGCUAAAGGGUUGAAGGGGAGAAUUUCCAGGGUAUGUGUUGGGGAGGAAGACUGGCAGAGUGGUUCUGGGCAGAAUGUAAAUUAUGCAGGGAUGUGGCUGAAUUGGAGACAUUCAGCCCACUCUUGGGAUAUCUCCAACUCAUUAGGUGUGUGGUUUGGAUAAACCCUCCAAGUGGUUCUGAAGCUCUUGACUCCUACCUCAUCCCCCUUCUUGGGUAUUCCUCACGUUAGCUCAAAGCUUUGAGGCUCAUUUAAAUUCAGUGCCCCAAGGAUCCCAUUCAUAACUAUUCUCAGAUACUCAUGCCUAUGUGUGAUUGGAAUUCCUGUAAGGGAAGAGUCUGGUCUAAGAAGGCUGUAGACUUGGAGUUGGUGUAUAAGGGGAGAGCUCCACAGAAGGGAAGACUGCAGGCGAGCGCUCCCUUGGCCAGUGGUCCAUACCUUACAUAUCUUACAUACCUUACAUCUCUACCUUUGUACUGGCAGAGAUAGUCCAGCUGCUGUGUUCUCAAGAGCUAGCACAGGGUCUAAAUUAGGGUAUCUUGGCAUCUUUAAUCCCAUAUUUCCCUCCCUGUCCUCUGUUGAUCUGCUCCUCUCUUAGAAGGAAUUGUUACUAUUUUUUGUGUAUCUCCAUGACUCAAGCAUAGUGUGGUAAACUUUAUUUUCUAUAGCUUGUAUUGUGAGAACAAUACACAUUUCAUAGAAUAUUAUGAAGUCAGUUACUUGUCUGAGGUUGGGAUCCCCUAGAAGUAGUACUAAGAAAAGGAUAUGAAUGCAAGUGACCUCAGAAAGCUCCGAGAGAGUGCAGAAAUGAGAAAGUGAUUGGAAGGAGCAGAUAAAGAUUGAGUAGCAAUUGGUAUGGGAAACUGGGGCAUAAUCUCACUGAGUUGUCCCAGACAAGGGGAAGGAAGUGGAGGUAUCUAAGCACCAUCACCCCAUCUUUGGCUAAGGAUGGACUCCAGGAGCACUAACCCUCCAUCAGCUCUGGCUUGUCCUGAGCACAGGCAAACAUGGGGCCUAGUGGGUAGUCUUCAGUCUGGAGGUGACACUGAAGACUAUUGCAGAGAACCAAGAGAGCAUGCUGAAAUAUGCCUUUACAAAUGAGGUACAUCUCUCACUCUUGCCCUCAAACUCACCGAGACUCUUAUGUGAAAUUCCCAUCAGAUCUCUAGGCUGGGAUCUCUAGACUAGUGCACUAUGACACAGUUUUGGACAAUGCCAUGGUUUGUCAUUAUGAGAUGAAUAAAAAAAAAAAUCUCUUGAUCCCCCUGUUGGAAGACGCUGCAUGUGUCUCAUUUUUCUGCAUGUCUUACCAGCCCAGACUCAGGCUUCCUUUG